UGGGGAAUUUUGGACAAUGGGCGAAAGCCUGAUCCAGCAAUGCCGCGUGUGUGAAGAAGGCCUUCGGGUUGUAAAGCACUUUUGUCCGGAAAGAAAUCCUUGGCUCUAAUACAGUCGGGGGAUGACGGUACCGGAAGAAUAAGCACCGGCUAACUACGUGCCAGCAGCCGCGGUAAUACGUAGGGUGCAAGCGUUAAUCGGAAUUACUGGGCGUAAGCGUGCGCAGGCGGUUUGCUAAGACCGAUGUGAAAUCCCCGGGCUCAACCUGGGAACUGCAUUGGUGACUGGCAGGCUAGAGUAUGGCAGAGGGGGGUAGAAUUCCACGUGUAGCAGUGAAAUGCGUAGAGAUGUGGAGGAAUACCGAUGGCGAAGGCAGCCCCCUGGGCCAAUACUGACGCUCAUGCACGAAAGCGUGGGGAGCAAACAGGAUUAGAUACCCUGGUAGUCCNCGCCCUAAACGAUGUCAACUAGUUGUUGGGGACUUCAUUUCCUUAGUAACGUAGCUAACGCGUGAAGUUGACCGCCUGGGGAGUACGGUCGCAAGAUU
rnacentral:rRNA from 1 species